rnacentral:lncRNA from 1 species
UGUACUACAUGACUGGCUCACCAUGAAUAGAUUCUAUAGGUUUGAUGACUUGUUGCUCUUUAGAGACUCUCUUCGAGCUCAACUUUUCUCCCACUGCUUCAUCUUGGAUAAACUAUUUUCUAAGAAGGUAGCAUGAUGGCUCACAAUCAUAUUGUGAUCCUUUGAGAAGAAAAAGUUAUAUCUCAAACUCUUUAGGAUAUCCUAUGAAAUAAGUUCUCAUAGAUCCAGCCUCUAACAUGUCCGCCUACUGUCACUUGACACA